rnacentral:lncRNA from 1 species
AUACUCUUACUUCAUCAACCAGCAUACACGGAAAUUUCCAUUUCAGUCCUUGCACCAGAAGUACGCCGUUUGGCUAUUUAAGCACUUCGAAACAGCUUAAUUACAGCUUAUGGCUUCUAUCAAAUUAAUUUCGACCCAGCCUUUAACAAAGAUGUUCCAACAUAUAUACUCAGCCCCAUGAACCACUUAUACAGCAGGUUAAUCCACAACAUAGUCAUUUAAGGCAAAAUUUGCAAAACAGCUUAACUGACAGCUUAUGACCUCUAGACAAUUAAAUUUCAACUCAAAUUUUCCAGAAUCAAAGAAAAUAUGUACACACAUCUCCUACACCAGUCUUACAGAAAUUCUAACAUAUUAAACUCAAUAAUCAAAUAUGGAAGUUUUCGGAACAACUUUUGACUUUUAGCUUCUAGCUUUUCAUUUCAAACAGCAACAACAACAAUACUAAUGCUACUAACAGCCCUUAACUCAAUCUUAGACACUUCUCCUUGCUUCCCA